UGGGGAAUCUUCCGCAAUGGACGAAAGUCUGACGGAGCAACGCCGCGUGUAUGAUGAAGGUCUUCGGAUUGUAAAGUACUGUCAUUGGGGAAGAACGGUUUUCUUGAAAAGAUUGAGAAGACAUGACGGUACCCAAGGAGGAAGCCCCGGCUAACUACGUGCCAGCAGCCGCGGUAAUACGUAGGGGGCAAGCGUUGUCCGGAAUUAUUGGGCGUAAAGGGCGCGUAGGCGGGCUUUUAAGUCCGGUGUGAAAGAUCAGGGCUCAACCCUGAGAGUGCAUCGGAAACUGGAGGCCUUGAGGACAGGAGAGGAAAGUGGAAUUCCACGUGUAGCGGUGAAAUGCGUAGAUAUGUGGAGGAACACCAGUGGCGAAGGCGACUUUCUGGACUGUAACUGACGCUGAGGCGCGAAAGCGUGGGGAGCAAACAGGAUUAGAUACCCUGGUAGUCCACGCCCGUAAAGAUGAGCUGCUGGUGUAGAGGGUAUCGACCCCUUCUGUGCCGCAGUUAACACAAUAAGCACUCCCGCUGGGGAGUACGGCCGCAAGGUUGAAACUUAAAAGAAUUGACGGGG
rnacentral:rRNA from 1 species